rnacentral:rRNA from 1 species
CACGUAGGGCGCGAGCGUUGUCCGGAAUUAUUGGGCGUAAAGAGCUCGUAGGCGGCCUGUUGCGUCCGCUGUGAAAGCCCGGGGCUUAACCCCGGGUCGGCAGUGGAUACGGGCAGGCUAGAGGUAGGUAGGGGAGAAUGGAAUUCCCGGUGUAGCGGUGAAAUGCGCAGAUAUCGGGGAGAACGACCGGUGCGAAGGCGGUUCUCUGGGCCUUACCUGACGCUGAGGAGCGAAAGCGUGGGGAGCGAACAGG